rnacentral:rRNA from 1 species
AUUGAACGCUGGCGGCAUGCUUUACACAUGCAAGUCGAACGGUAACAGGUUAAGCUGACGAGUGGCGAACGGGUGAGUAAUGCAUCGGAACGUGCCCGAUCGUGGGGGAUAACGCAGCGAAAGCUGCGCUAAUACCGCAUACGAUCUGAGGAUGAAAACGGGGGACGGUAAGGCCUCGCGCGAGCGGAGCGGCCGAUGUCAGAUUAGGUAGUUGGUGGGGUAAAGGCCCACCAAGCCGACGAUCUGUAGCUGGUCUGAGAGGACGACCAGCCACACUGGGACUGAGACACGGCCCAGACUCCUACGGGAGGCAGCAGUGGGGAAUUUUGGACAAUGGGCGAAAGCCUGAUCCAACAAUGCCGCGUGCAGGAAGAAGGCCUUCGGGUUGUAAACUGCUUUUGUACGGAGCGAAAAGGUCCUUUCUAAUACAAGGGGCUCAUGACGGUACCGUAAGAAUAAGCACCGGCUAACUACGUGCCAGCAGCCGCCGUAA